UACGUAGGGUGCAGGCGUUAAUCGGAAUUACUGGGCGUAAAGCGUGCGCAGGCGGUCUUUUAAGUCAGAUGUGAAAUCCCUCGGCUUAACCGGGGAACUGCGUCUGAUACUGGAUGGCUUGAGUUCGGGAGAGGGAUGCGGAAUUCCAGGUGUAGCGGUGAAAUGCGUAGAUAUCUGGAGGAACACCGGUGGCGAAGGCGGCAUCCUGGACCAACACUGACGCUGAGGAGCGAAAGCCAGGGGAGCAAACGGG
rnacentral:rRNA from 1 species